UCAGAAUACCCUACCCGCCAGGAGGAACGAAAUAAUCUAGGAAACCUCCGUAUCCUGGUAUUAUUUUUCAGUGGGGACACAGGGGAAACUCAAGGUACCAGCGUAGCGAGCCUGACCCCUUUCCUGCCACUAGCUUUGGUCUGAAUGGUCAAGGCUACGCUAAGACUCUAGUAAUGGUAUAGAAAGUCGACCAACAGAAUCUUCUUCAUUUGUAAGCAGGGAAGAGGAACUAUCAGGAAGACUUUGGUCCUGGUCUAAAUCUAGCACUGAGGUUUUGAAAGAGGAAGCAGUGUGUCCUACCGCAGCCUGGUUAGAUGAGUCACCUUGCCUGGCUUGUGUUGAAUGAUGAAGCACACUUGUCAAACAUCACCUUUUACGCACCGGACCAGAGCUACUUCUCCUCCUAACAGAUGUCUCGCCUUCAAAAAGAUGACUCAGCAUCAUCCGAUGGAAGGGCACCUGGACCAAGGACGUGAUCGGAUGUGGUCGGGGACUUGACAGGUGUUGGUCCAAUGUUUUGUGUUGUGUCUUGUAGCUUAGUACGUUAUGUCUUGUAAACUUAGAAACCUCCCUAUUUUCAAAUAAAUGCAGGAGCGACGGGAGAGAUUGUUUAGAGCGUGUUGAGAGACUGUGAUCUGAACAAUCUCUCAUACGCCCUCCUCAUGAGAA